rnacentral:rRNA from 1 species
CCUACGGGAGGCAGCAGUGGGGGAUAUUGCACAAUGGGGGAAACCCUGAUGCAGCGACGCCGCGUGGGUGAAGAAGCGCCUCGGCGCGUAAAGCCCUGUCAGCAGGGAAGAAAAUGACGGUACCUGAAGAAGAAGCCCCGGCUAACUACGUGCCAGCAGCCGCGGUAAUACGUAGGGGGCAAGCGUUAUCCGGAUUUACUGGGUGUAAAGGGGGCGCAGACGGCGGUGCAAGUCAGGAGUGAAAGCCCGGGGCCCAACCCCGGGACUGCUCUUGGAACUGGGCGGCUAGAGUGCAGGAGGGGCAGGCGGAAUUCCUGGUGUAGCGGUGAAAUGCGUAGAUAUCAGGAGGAACACCGGUGGCGAAGGCGGCCUGCUGGACUGCAACUGACGUUGAGGCCCGAAAGCGUGGGGAGCAAACAGGAUUAGAUACCCGAGUAGUC